rnacentral:snRNA from 1 species
AGCUUUGCACAGUGGCAGUAUCGUAGCCAAUGAGGUUUAUCCAAGGCGCAAUUAUUGCUAAUUGAAAACUUUUCCCAAUACUCUGCCAUGACAACGGGAAAUAUAGUCGGCAUUGGCAAUUUUUGGCAGUCUGUAUAGG